UCCUACGGCCAUACCACCCUGAAUGCGCCCGAUCUUGUCUGAUCUCGGAAGCUAAGCAGGGUCACGCCUGGUUAGUACUUGGAUGCGAGACCGCCUGGGAAUACCAGGUGCUGUAAGCU
rnacentral:rRNA from 1 species